rnacentral:rRNA from 1 species
GACCUCUCACUAUUGGAGCGGCCGAUAUCGGAUUAGCUAGUUGGUGGGGUAAAGGCUCACCAAGGCAACGAUCCGUAGCUGGUUUGAGAGGACGACCAGCCACACUGGGACUGAGACACGGCCCAGACUCGUACGGGAGGCAGCAGUGGGGAAUUUUGGACAAUGGGGGAAACCCUGAUCCAGCCAUCCCGCGUGUAUGAUGAAGGCCUUCGGGUUGUAAAGUACUUUUGGCAGAGAAAAAAAGGUAUCCCCUAAUACGGGAUACUGCUGACGGUAUCUGCAGAAUAAGCACCGGGUAACUACGUGCCAGCAGCCGCGGUAAUACGUAGGGUGCAAGCGUUAAUCGGAAUUACUGGGCGUAAAGCGUGUGUAGGCGGUUCGGAAAGAAAGAUGUGAAAUCCCAGGGCUCAACCUUGGAACUGCAUUUUUAACUGCCGAGCUAGAGUAUGUCAGAGGGGGGUAGAAUUCCACGUGUAGCACUGAAAUGCGUAGAUAUGUGGAGGAAUACCGAUGGCGAAGGCAGCCCCCUGGGAUAAUACUGACGCUCAGACACGAAAGCGUGGGGAGCAAACAGGAUUAGAUACCCUGGUAGUCCACGCCCUAAACGAUGUCAACUAGCUGUCGGGGCCGUUAGGCCUUAUUAGCGCAGCUGACGCGUGAAGUUGACCGCCUGGGGAGUACGGUCGCAAGAUUAAAACUCAAAGGAAUUGACGGGGACCCCCACAAGCGGUGGAUGAUGUGUAUUAAUUCG